rnacentral:rRNA from 1 species
GACGAACCGUGCGAACGUUGUUCGGAAUCACUGGGCUUAAAGGGCGCGUAGGCGGGCUGCCAAGUCCGGGGUGAAAUCCUCCAGCUUAACUGGAGAACUGCCUCGGAUACUGGAAGUCUCGAGGAGGGUAGGGGCAUGCGGAACUGUGGGUGGAGCGGUGAAAUGCGUUGAUAUCCAUAGGAACUCCGGUGGCGAAGGCGGCAUGCUGGACCCUUUCUGACGCUGAGGCGCGAAAGCCAGGGGAGCAAACGGG